GCGGGUAUGGUAUAGUGGUAUUACAUUUCCUUGCCAAGGAAGAGACACGGGUUCAAUUCCCGUUACCCGCUCCA
rnacentral:tRNA from 1 species